CAGUCGCCACGGUAAUCCGUAGGUGGCAAGCGUUGUCCGGAAUUAUUGGGCGUAAAGGGCUCGCAGGCGGUUUCUUAAGUCUGAUGUGAAAGCCCCCGGCUCAACCGGGGAGGGUCAUUGGAAACUGGGAAACUUGAGUGCAGAAGAGGAGAGUGGAAUUCCACGUGUAGCGGUGAAAUGCGUAGAGAUGUGGAGGAACACCAGUGGCGAAGGCGACUCUCUGGUCUGUAACUGACGCUGAGGAGCGAAAGCGUGGGGAGCGAACAGGAUUAGAUACCCGAGUAGUCCCUGUCUCUUAUAC
rnacentral:rRNA from 1 species